AGCGAACGCUGGCGGCAGGCUUAACACAUGCAAGUCGACAGGCAACGGGUGAGUAACACGUGGGAACGUACCUUUCGGUUCGGAAUAAUCCAGGGAAACUUGGACUAAUACCGGACCGAUAGAUCGGCCCGCGUCUGAUUAGCUAGUUGGUGAGGUAAUGGCUCACCAAGGCGACGAUCAGUAGCUGGUCUGAAGGAUGAUCAGCCACAUUGGGACUGAGGCACGGCCCAAACUCCUACGGGGGGUAGCAGUGGGGAAUAUUGAAAAUGGGCGAGUGCUGAUCCAGCCAUGCCGCGUGAGUGAUAAAGGCCUUAGGGUUGUAUAGCUCUUUUGUCCGAGAAGCUGGGCCGGAAGAAUCAGCCCCGGCUAACUUCGGGCCAGCCGCCGCGGUAAUUC
rnacentral:rRNA from 1 species